GAUGAACGCUGGCGGCGUGCCUAAUACAUGCAAGUCGAGCGAACAGAUGAGGAGCUUGCUCCUCUGACGUUAGCGGCGGACGGGUGAGUAACACGUGGAUAACCUACCUAUAAGACUGGGAUAACUUCGGGAAACCGGAGCUAAUACCGGAUAAUAUAUUGAACCGCAUGGUUCAAUAGUGAAAGACGGUUUUGCUGUCACUUAUAGAUGUAUCCGCGCCGCAUUAGCUAGUUGGUAAGGUAACGGCUUACCAAGGCAACGAUGCGUAGCCGACCUGAGAGGGUGAUCGGGCACACUGGAAGUGAGCCACGGUACAGAGUCCUACGGGAGGCAGCAGUAGGGAAUCUUCCGAAAUGGGCGAAAGCCUGACGGAGCAACGCAGCGUGAGUGAUGAAGGUCUUCGGAUCGUAAAACUCUGUUAUUAGGGAAGAACAAAUGUGUAAGUAACUAUGCACGUCGUGACGGUACCUAAUCAGAAAGCCACGGCUAACUACGUG
rnacentral:rRNA from 1 species